UUUAUAUCUAACAUCCUGGAAGCAAAUUUAUUACUUCGCUUGCCAGAAGUAGCUCCCCCUUUCCUCUUCCUCUUCUUCCUCUCAGGUUUGACAAGAGGUGAAGCACCAGGUUCAGCACUAGUUCCAUUUAAAUCAGGUAUGCCUGCAGCAGGCAUAAUUUCUGGUUGCCCAGAUAGUGAUUUUGCUUUCCUUCUCCUCCUUUUCUUCUCAGGUUUACCUUCAGCUAAGAGCGGGGCAGCUCCUGGGGGAUCUUUGACCAACAAUACUGGUACAACAGAAUUUCCAUUAUUAUGUUUAGGAAUAGAAUUAAUUGCGUAGGGACCUUUCACCCGCAAAUCUGCCACCAAUGAGCCAGGUUGUGCACUGCCUCCAUUCAGAUCUUUUAAGCUGGUAGUAACUUUAGUCUCCGAGCUCCCUGAAGUAGCACCUCCUUUCCUCCUUCUCUUCUUUGUCUCAGAGCCAACAUGACCAACAGCCUGGGAAUUUUCUGCCAUUACCAGCG
rnacentral:lncRNA from 1 species